CAAUAGCGUAUAUUAAAGUUGUUGCAGUUAAAAAGCUCGUAGUUGGAUUUGUGGCGUACGGUGUGUUCCGGGCACUUGUUGUCUGAGUAACCUGCUGUUGCCAUCCUUGGGUGGAACCUGUGUGGCAUUAGGUUGUCGUGCAGGGGAUGCCCAUCAUUUACUGUGAAAAAAUUAGAGUGUUCAAAGCAGGCUUAUGCCGUUGAAUAUAUUAGCAUGGAAUAAUGAGAUAGGACUUUUUUGCUAUUUUGUUGGUUUGCGCAAAGAGGUAAUGGUUAAUAGGGACAGUUGAGGGUAUUCGUAUUCCAUUGUCAGAGGUGAAAUUCUUGGAUUUUUGGAAGACGAACUACUGCGAAAGCAUUUACCAAGGAUGUUUUCAUUAA
rnacentral:rRNA from 1 species